UACGUAGGGGGCUAGCGUUGUCCGGAAUCAUUGGGCGUAAAGCGCGUGUAGGCGGUUCAGUAAGUCUGCUGUGAAAGUCCAGGGCUCAACCCUGGGAUGCCGGUGGAUACUGCUGGACUAGAGUGCGGAAGAGGCGAGUGGAAUUCCCGGUGUAGCGGUGAAAUGCGCAGAUAUCGGGAGGAACACCAAUUGCGAAGGCAGCUCGCUGGGACGUUACUGACGCUGAGACGCGAAAGCGUGGGGAGCAAACAGG
rnacentral:rRNA from 1 species